AUCCAAAAUACUAUAUUGUUGUAGUUUUUUUCAUGUAACAAAAUUUUCAGUAUUUUUUACAGUGUUACACAGCCAACUUUUUAAAAGUUAACUGUUAUCAUACCAUCACUGUACAAAUGGAACAUUACUGUAGCUAAUGUGGAAGAAUUAAACUUUGUUACUUGUUAACACACAAUAUUAUCUGAAUAAACUAGUUUUAUUCUGGCAAAUUCUUUAAUGGUUUUCAGACUUUGUAAGAUGAAGUUAUCAGUAUCAAAAGUUUUAUUUUACAAAAUAACUAAUGUUAUUGUAAUUUUUAUGUAGCCUUGCUUUAAAUUUAGGCUACAUGAAGAAUAUCAAAAAAUAAAAGUUUUUACUUUAUCUUAGUACCCAUUUGCCUAAUAAACAAAAUGAGUUAUGAUUAUUCAUUUUCUUGGUGAUUAUGAAGUGUGUGAGUAAAUGUGUAGUUAAAGAUACAACACCUAAAGCCCAAAUAUUGUCACAAACAUGCUUAUAAACAUAUAAAACAAUAGUGGACUGUCUAGAAAAGUGUACACAGUAUUGUUGCAACAGGUGACUGAUAAGCGAAUAAAACAUUAAACAGUGCCAUUCUGUUACCUGUAUGAUACAUUUUCAUGUAUAAAGUUUAGGGUUAAGAAAAUAACUUAAUUCUAAAUUACUGUGCCUAAAGUGUGAAGACUGUUUCCUUUAGCUCCUUUAUGGAGUUUCACCAAGUUCUGACAGUUUCAAAUAUCAAUCAUUUUCAACAGUUUGAGGAAUGGCAAAAGUAAAUUUUAUAGAUUUACGUUUGCUAUUUUUAUCUAAAAGGAUUGGUUCCUUAUUGUGUUUGUAUUUAGUAUUUUUUGACUAACGUAGAAACAUUGAGGAAAAAGUAUUAAUUUUGUUUGAACAUUUUUUAAUUCCAGGAGAAACUUUGAUUUCAUUUUAGACUAUCUUAAAGCCUUCCAGCUUUGAAGCACCUAAGAGGCCCCUGGUCUCCAUCUUUUAUCCCAUCACAAGUACAGUCCAAAAUUAUGAAAUCAUCAUACUCUCCCAGAUUAAUAAGUUAGAGUAUGCUGAUGACAUUAAACCUCAAGGCAUACAUUUAGAUGUACCAACACAGCAUGAGAAUGGUGUUCUUCAAGCCAUCAGUUUUAAACCAUGACAACAUGUUUAACACACAUCAUAGAGCUCAUCUUUAUGCUAUGUAUUCUUGGAAAGCAUUAUAUCCUUUGAGACUUCAGUUUCUGUGCCCGGUCUGUCAUAAACAGUUUUCAACUAAUUCAAACAUGAGGCGUCACGUCCGAGACCAACAUACUCAAGACAAUAGGUUUCAGUGUGAAUUCUGUUUUAAGUCAUGGAGAAGAUCAGAUCACCUCAAAAUUCAUCUGAAAACUGUUCACAGUAUAAAAGAUUCAAGCAGACGUUUUGAUCUGAUAUGGACUAAACAAGGACCAAAAACUUAGGCUAUGAAAAAAUUAUUUUUGCCUCUUAUUACUAAAUAUAGUAAAAUAAAGCCUGUGAAAAUUCAGCUGACACAUUAUUUGUACAAUAUGUAUUGCCAUUUCACACGUUUGUAACAUGAUUUGUAAUGUUUUUAAUUUAACACUGUUUUACAUGUAAUUCUAUAAUAACUUAGAAAACCCUUGUUUUAUGUCUUAUAAUCUAUAUAAAAAAAUAUUUUGUGCAAUUUUGUAACCUUACAUGUACAUCACUAAUGAUAAAUAAAAUGCAAAAGGAACUACACAGUAAUUGUAUUUUUUUAAUAUUUUACUAAGUAUCUUUUGGAAGUGGUCCAUGUGUUUAAACACAAUUUAAAUCUUGAGAGUAAUCUUGGUUCCAUAAAAAAUUAUUUCCAACUUUCUAAGGAAAAAGGAGGUAGUAUAGCUUAAUGUGAAAGCAUGUUCUGUUUAUGUAAACUGGAAUUUCUAUCUUGCUAAUGAAUUUGAUUACAUAUUCAUUCUCUUUUUUUUAUAUAUAAAUACAGAAUGCUUCAAUGAAUAAUUAUAUUAUUAUUUGCUCUAUGUUAAUAAAAUAUUAUCUAAUUAGUUUCUAGUCGGUGUACUCCAAAUAGGUAUUGGUAGCAUUUUACAAAUUCUGAUAAAUGGGAUGAAACUCGUAAAUCAUGAUUGACUUACUAUAUACAAUCUCUACAAUUAAAGAUACAUAAAUUGCCCAUAAAAUGAUUACCAUAACCUAACCAAGUAUUGUUUGCAUCCAAAACCAGAAUAUUUGUCCAGUGAAAUAACAAGGCUAACUUUUUACAGUUUUAGCUGUUACCUAAGGUUUGGUAACAGGUAAGGUGUAAAUUAACAGAUCCUCUGGAUUUUUUCAGUUUGUCAAUAUAAUAUGCAUAAAUUUAUAUGUGAUAUUUAAUUGGUUCAUUUGAUAUAUUUUAUUUAAAUGCUACUUUUUAGCUCUUGUGCAGUUUGAUUCUUUGAAUUAUAUAUGUAUAAAAUAUAUUUGAGCUAUGCAGUAGAAGGGUAACAAUAGCAGCUAAAAGAAUGUAAUAAACAUUGAAAUUCGAUGACGAGGAACCCACUUUGAGACUAAUAAUGGCUGGAGACGGCUUAA